GGCCUGCCCAAUGAUUGUAUCUAAAUUUAAAUGAUAAAAGAAGUUGUUUAAUUAAAGACAAUUCAAUGGCCGCGGUAACUCUGACCGUGAUAAUGUAGCGCAAUAAAUAGCCAAUUAAUUGUUGGCAAGUAUGAAUGGCGUCACGAGUGCCCUGCUGUCUCAAGAUAAAAACCAAUGAAAUUGAAUUAGUAGUUAAGAUGCUACUGACAAAUUGUAAGACGAGAAGACCCCGUUGAGCUUUACUGGAGUCUUAAAUCGGUUAAGAAGAUUAAUGAGUAGAUUAUAGGGGAAGAUUUUAAAAUACCCUUCUUUAAAAGUUGAUUAAUCAAGAGUUUAAGUUGGACAGUUUGGUUGGGGCGACGGCCUUCUAAAGAGUAACGAAGGCGAACAAAGGUAAAUAUGAAAAUAGCAUAAAGUCAAAGCCUGACAGUAAGGAAGAAUUCUAAGCUGACACAUAUUAUAAAUAUUGUGGGUUAUAAUGACCCGUUAGUUAAGGAUGGAUUUGCUAACGAGCAACGAAUAAAAGUUACCACGGGGAUAACAGCGUAAUUUCGUUUAAGAGUUCAUAUCGACGACGGAGUUUCC
rnacentral:rRNA from 1 species